rnacentral:rRNA from 1 species
CAGGAGCGUAUAUUAAAGUUGAUGCAGUUAAAAAGCUCGUAGUUUGGGGUAUGGCGUGUGGUUGCUGUGUUGCGCGCAAGCGUGGUGCGGCGGGCAUGCCAUUUUUUAUGGGGAGUGGGGACGUGUGGCAUUUGGUUGUCGUGCGUUGUCGCCCCGGCUUUACUUUGAAAAAAUUGGAGUGUUCAAAGCGGGUGUUGCCUGAACAGAUUAGCAUGGAAUAAUGGAAGAGGACUUUGGUGCUGUUUUGUUGGUUUCCGGUGUCGAGGUAAUGAUGAAUAGGGGCAGUUGGGGGCAUUCGUAUUUAGUUGUCAGAGGUGAAAUUCUUGGAUUUGCUACAGACGAACAUCUGCGAAAGCAUCUGCCAAGGAUGUUUUCAUUGA